GAUGAACGCUGGCGGCGUGCCUAAUACAUGCAAGUCGAGCGAACAGACGAGGAGCUUGCUCCUCUGACUUUAGCGGCGGACGGGUGAGUAACACGUGGAUAACCUACCUAUCCGACUGGGAUAACUUCGGGAAACCGGAUCUAAUACCGGAUAAUAUAUUGAACCUCAUUGUUCAAUAGUGAAAUACGGUUUUGCUGUCACUUAUAGAUGGAUCCGCGCCGCAUUAGCUAGUUGGUAAGGUAACGGCUUACCAAGGCAACGAUGCAUAGCCGACCUGAGAGGGUGAUCGGCCACACGGGAACUGAGACACGGUCCAGACUCCUACGGGAGGCAGCAGUAGGGAAUCUUACGCAAUGGGCGAAAGCCUGACGGAGCAACGCCGCGUGAGUGAUGAAGGUCUUCGGAUCGUAAAACUCUGUUAUUAGGGAAGAACAAAUGUGUAAGUAACUAUGCACGUCUUGACGGUACCUAAUGAGAAAGCCACGGCUAACUACGUG
rnacentral:rRNA from 1 species